rnacentral:lncRNA from 1 species
GGAGAACCCUGCAAAAUGUAAUCAUGUCAUUUGGAUCAAAUCAUGAAGCUUUCAAAAAUAAAGGAAAAUACAUUGCUCUUUCCCCUUCCCCACCAGCACUACAAUACUGAAUUAACACAUAAAUGAUCUGCUGGCCAGAGCAGAAUAUGGACCACAGAUGUUAACAACCUGGCACCGCUUGUUGUUUCUCAGUGUUGCAGGAGACAGUUUGUCCUGACUGAAUUCCCAAUGACGUGAAAAGACUGACCAAGUCCAGGCAUUUGAACCAAUUAUUAACUUCAAAUGAUGAGUGCUCAGCUACCUGACAGAUUCCAGUUUGGAAAAAUCCAUCUUUCCAGGAGUGAUGGAGCAGAUGUGUCUACUUUAGCAAUGGGCAGCCUAGAAGAUGGACAUUUGACAGGCGACAAUAGACUGCUCCUUUCCCAGGACUGCCAUUUAACAGCUCCGGCAACCAGUGUAGAAUUUGUGUCCCAAGAAGAGAUUUCUGCCAAACGGAGAAGCUCUUGGGAGCUGUGGUUUUGACCUUGCUUUGUCUCUCAGCCUAAGGAGAGAGCUGAACUUGGGAGAAAUGCUCUGAUCACCAGGGUAAGGUACAAAAAGCAGGUCAGUACAUGCCUUUGGUUUUAAUAAAAUAAAUAUCCAACACUAAUUUCCA